rnacentral:snoRNA from 1 species
UGUGGGGAUGAUUCCUUAGACUAGAGUCUCUGAUUUUAUAUGAAGCUCUACAGUGCGCUGAACA